rnacentral:rRNA from 1 species
UAAGAGGUCCCGCCUGCCCUGUGACUAUUUGUUUAACGGCCGCGGUAUUUUGACCGUGCGAAGGUAGCGCAAUCACUUGUCUUUUAAAUGGAGACCCGUAUGAAUGGCAUAACGAGGGCUUAACUGUCUCCUCUUUCAAGUCAAUGAAAUUGAUCUUUCCGUGCAGAAGCGGGAAUAUAAACAUAAGACGAGAAGACCCUAUGGAGCUUUAGACACUACAGCAGCCCACGUUAAGCACCCUGAAUAAAGGACUAAACCAAGUGGGCCCUGCCUUAAUGUCUUUGGUUGGGGCGACCGCGGGGAAUUAAAGAACCCCCACGUGGAGCGGGAAUACUUUUCCUACAACUAAGAGCUACAGCUCUAGUUAACAGAACUUCUGACCAGCAAGAUCCGGCACUGCCGAUCAACGGACCGAGUUACCCUAGGGAUAACAGCGCAAUCCUCUUUUAGAGCCCAUAUCGACAAGGGGGUUUACGACCUCGAUGUUGGAUCAGGACAUCCUAAUGGUGCAGCCGCUAUUAAGGGUUCGUUUGUUCAACG